AAACAAUUGAGGGAAAAAGAAGGAAAGUGUCGUUUUUUUUUGUUGUUUUUUAUUCAAUGAUAGCCGUAAUGUUCGUUUAUAUCGUAUAUUUUAUAAGAGAAAAGUAAGACUCAAUGUGCUGCAAAUUCAAAAUGAAGUCUGCACACACUGUGACAGCCAUGUCCGGAGACAAGCCAUAGCUAUACAAUGCAGCAGUUUUGUUUGAUGUGGUAUGACAAUGAAAGCAAUUUAGCAAUUGAAAUUUAGCUGUUUUAUAGACAGAGAUUAAUUGGAGCUCAUGUAUAAUUGCGAAAAUGAAGAGAAUGCCACCAACAAGGAUUUACCAUACACAAUGAACAACAGAAAUGGAUGUCAUACAAGUAUGCGUUGCUUUUGUUUGACUGUGAUGGUACUACGGCUGUUGUCCAUAGACGUCAACUGCCAGAGAAUGCAGCCAUUGGCCAACAGUUUGAGCUGAAAGAAAGUGGGAAUCACCUAUGUGAAAUCGUAAAUCUGGCCGGUAUGUACGAACAAUAAUUUGGCAUCAACACGUUUUAUGAAGGCAAUAUUGAUAUAAUGUUUUCCUAGUGAUGCACA